CCCUUAGAUGUUCUGGGCUGCACACGUGCUACACUGGCAGGUUCAGCGAGCUUCAUGCCCUGAUCUGAAAGGAAUGGGAAAUCUUUUCAAAACCUGCCGUGCUUGGGAUAGAUGUUUGCAAUUAUUCAUCUUCAACGAGGAUUGCCUUGUAAGCGCACGUCAUCAGCGUGCAUUGAAUACGACCCUGUAUUCUGUACACACCGCCCGUCGCUCCUACCGAUUGAAGUUUUCGGUGAGUUGACAGGGGGAUUUUUUUGAAACUGGUUCGCCAGUGGAUUUUAGAUCCAAAUGCCAACGAAUCGAGGGCUUUAGAGGAAGGAGAAGUCGUAACA
rnacentral:rRNA from 1 species